rnacentral:rRNA from 1 species
GAUGAACGCUAGCGGCAGGCUUAACACAUGCAAGUCGAGGGGCAGCAUGAGACGGAGAUUCGUCGAAGUCUUGAUGGCGACCGGCGCAAGGGUGCGUAACGCGUGAGCAACUUGCCCGUUUCAGGGGGAUAACCGGUGGAAACGCCGACUAAUACCCCAUAGUAUCAUUUUAAGGCAUCUUUUAAUGAUUAAAGAAUUUCGGAAACGGAUAGGCUCGCGUGACAUUAGCUAGAUGGCGGGGUAACGGCCCACCAUGGCGACGAUGUCUAGGGGUUCUGAGAGGAAGGUCCCCCACACUGGAACUGAGACACGGUCCAG